rnacentral:rRNA from 1 species
GACGAACGCUGGCGGCGUGCUUAACACAUGCAAGUCGAACGGAAAGGCCUUUUCGGCGGUACUCGAGUGGCGAACGGGUGGGUAACACGUGGGUGAUCUGCCCUGCACUCUGGGAUAAGCCUGGGAAACUGGGUCUAAUACCGGAUAGGACCGCACUUUAGUGUGUGUGGUGGAAAGUUUUUUCGGUGUAGGAUGAGCCCGCGGCCUAUCAGCUUGUUGGUGGGGUAAUGGCCUACCAAGGCGGCGACGGGUAGCCGGACUGAGAGGUUGGUCGGCCACAUUGGGACUGAGAUGCGGCCCAGACUCCUACGGGAGGCAGCAGUGGGGAAGAUUGCACAAGGGGCGCAAGCCUGAUGCAGCGACGCCGCGUGGGGGAGGACGGCCUUCGGGUUGUAAACUCCUUUCGCCAGGGACGAAGCGUUUUGUGACGGUACCUGGAGAAGAAGCACCGGCUAACUACGUG